rnacentral:ncRNA from 1 species
GACACCAGCUAGGGGUGUUGACCCGCUCUCGCAAGAGGCCCGGGCUCGACUGAGAAAGUCCCUUCGAACCUGAUUGAGGUAAUCCUCGCGCAGGGAAGCGAUCUUCGGUGUGC